UACGUAGGGGGCGAGCGUUGUCCGGAUUUAUUGGGCGUAAAGAGCUCGUAGGCGGCUUGUCACGUCGGGUGUGAAAGCCCGGGGCUUAACCCCGGGUCUGCAUUCGAUACGGGCUAGCUAGAGUGUGGUAGGGGAGAUCGGAAUUCCUGGUGUAGCGGUGAAAUGCGCAGAUAUCAGGAGGAACACCGGUGGCGAAGGCGGAUCUCUGGGCCAUUACUGACGCUGAGGAGCGAAAGCGUGGGGAUCGAACAGG
rnacentral:rRNA from 1 species